ensembl:snRNA U6 U6 spliceosomal RNA
GAACUUAAUUCGGCAGCACAUAUACUAAAAUUGGAAUGAUACAGAGAAGAUUAGCAUGGCCCCUGCACAAGGAUGACACACAAAAUUUGUGAAGUAUUCCCUAUUUGG